GGCUGAGGCAGCUGAGGAGGUACCUGUGGCCGCGCUGCCGAGGGGUGGGGGACACCGCCGAAGCGCGGGGCUUACAACGACAGCCCGGGCUUUCCUCGCUCUCGCCCUUCCCACUGCUGAGUGGGCUUCCGAGGUGAUUCCCGAGCCUCGCGCACGCCUGCGGAGACCUAGGCGGGGAAUGCUGCGGACGGUGACCGGCUCCGCCAGCCAGAAACGCAGCGAUGACGAGGCAGGAUGGCCAGUGCUGUCGGACCGCCCCUGGUGGUGCCCCGGGCCUGGGAAGUCAGGCGUGGAGCCUGGAACCUGCAACUGCUGGUCGUGGUGAUACGGAGACAGGAAAAUUGGCAUAUUAAAGAUGCUCAUACCAAGUGGAACAAAUGACUUAUUUUCACUGACCAGGAACUGUAUCCUGAAGGAGAGAGAGACACCUGCUCAUCUGUGACACUGGGCACAUGCUACUGGAGUGCACUUUUUCCAGCACUGAUAAGCAAUGAAGGUUGAGACAACAAAGGCCCCUUGGGGGCUGAGGCCUCUUACGACUUAGUCCCCUGAGAGUUUGCAUGGCUGGACAAGGAAUGUGCUAUCUGUAACUGUGUGUCUUGGAUCCCCAGUCUAUUUGGCCACCAAGGACACCCUGGCAACUGAAACCCAGAAAAGUUAAUUGACCUAUCCAAGCUAGUUGCUGACCCAGUACCAGGAGGGAGCUUGUCUGACUCCUGUCCAGGAUAUUUAUCAAUAGACUUCAAGGUUAGAAUUAUAUUUUUUAUUCUUUUUUAUGCUGCAUUCCUUAUGCUGAGUUUUGAGCAUGUUAUAAUAACACUCCAUAUUGAGAAGUCACUUAUAUAAUUGUAUCAACUGUCCAUAGCACAGUUAAGUUUCAGAAAGCAAUUCAAAAGGAUCAAACUGCAAAAACUGCCUUUCAGUCUAUAUACUGUUUAUUCACUUCAUAUAUAGGAAAGGUCCUCAAGCCUUCAUUCAAAGUCUAUGUACUCUAACUUGGCACACAGUCCUAAUGAGUUUGGUAUUUGGUUUUUUUAUUCACUUAUUCAGUAAACAUCCAUUGAACCCCAGGCACUGUUCUUGGAGGGUAAGGAUUCAAAGAUAAGUAAGGCACCGCCUUGGAGCUCACAUUCUAGAACUGUAAGCCUACAAUUCCAAGACAAUGUGCUUGUAUGGAGGUUGGCGCAGGUGCUAGGAGGCCAGGCAGUCUAGCCUGGGAGAGUCAGUAGACCUUACAAAGCAGGUGAAGUCUGCACUGGGACUGGUCAGGGAAGUAGGUGUUUAUUUGUUAAGACAAGGAAAGAAGGAUAUUCUAGGCAAAAGGAACAGCAUGGAAAAGGUAAUGGACAGGGCAGAAUGUCAUGUCUUCCAGAAAGUGCAUAUUUUCUAUGACUGGAGCAUAGGGUAAGUUUAAGGAGAAGUAGGCUUAAUACCACUCCCAGGAGUUUUUUAUAGCCAAGUAACCAAGUUCUGACCAGUGGCUGUAAAUGAAAGUGGUAUGUAAAACUUCUAGGCUGAAUUCUUAAUGGAAUCAAUUCAGCCCUGAAGUACUCUCAUUUACAUGCAAGAAAAAUAAACUUCUAUUUUAUCUAAGCCUCUGUUCCUUUGGGUUGCUGUCACUCAUAGCCACAAUAAAUUUUAAUACAGAUAAUCAAGCAGAUGGUGGUAGUAUGGAUUGAGAAAGUAAAUGAAAGGAAUAAGAAAUUUGGGAGAGGGGAAGACUAUAAAUUUGGAUAGUUUGAUGUUGAAUUGAAUAUAGAACUUCAAGAUAGAGAUAUAAAGCCAACAGUCAGCUCUAUAAUCUGGAACUAGGAGAGAGAUUUGGGAUGGAGACCCAAACUUGAGAAUGGCCAGUAUGGAGGUAGCAGAAAAGCCAUGGGUACAAUUUUGAGUGAAAAGUGAAUGACCAAGAAAAUAGACACAACUAGAGAUAAGAGAAGUCAAUGUAGUAAAAAGGGAGAGUGUGUGUUCUCUGGACACAGAAGCAAAGCCAGAGUUAUAGACAAUGUGCUUACGCCAAGCUGGAACAGCUUGCAUGCAUUUAGUGGACUAUACUGAUUUCACAAGGCCAGAAUGGAACACAGAUAGGGCAUAGGCCAAUGGUCACUAUACAAGCUUACAUGCUGUUGAUGGAAGAACAUUUAAAGGUGUGGUCUGAGUACUUAGAAGAGCACAGUAACUAGCAGAUUAUCUGACCUACCAGGAAACAAGGAACAAUCAAGAUAUGAAGGUACAGUAUUAAGAGACCCUACAUCAUGAGUAGUUUUAUACAAUAACAUGACCCCUAGCAUGGUAGCUAUCUAUCCUCUGCUUUGUUAAAAUAUCCUUGUGAGGAAGGCAGAUAUCUGCUAGAAGGCCAGUGUAUCUCUUCAGAGUAGGGCAGACCCCUUUAGAAGCAAUAGUUAACAAUGUUUUGAUUCUCUUCAGAGUUCUAUUUGGCGUAGUAACUGGCCUUGUCCUGUGAGAGGAGAAAAAGAGAGGAGAAUAAGAGAAGGUUGGAGGGAAGGAGAAAGAGCAAGAGUGAGCAAAUACUUACUUGGAGCACUAAGUAGUCGUAUAGUUAUUGUAGUAUACAUAGAAUUCCUGUCAUCUAGAAUGUUUUGUCCUUGUUACCAAAAUGUUUCCAUUCUUUCAAGAUCCAUCUCACAUUUAUCAUCUCCACACAGACUUCUCAAGUCAUCCUGUCCCACAUUGAUGUCACAUUCAUAAAAAUUCAAACAGCACUUCUACCUCAUUAGUACUAAGCAAGCAAUCAUUUAAUUAUGUACCUAUUUUGAAUUGUAUUCUAUGUGAAAUCUUGUCUUUCUGAAUAAAUUACAUACUUCUUGAGAAGGAUUACAUUGUACAUGGCAUCUAUAUCCUUUACAUGUUGCAUUUAUAGUAAGUAUAGAGAUACUGGAUGAUGAAAUGGAACCAAAGGAGCAUAUGAGUUGUGUAAAAUGUCAUGUCACACUUUGCUAGGAACAGAAUCUCAUGGUGGUUCUUUAACCAGUAGUAGGUACACAUCAUGCUCCUUGUUCUUCUUGUUUAAUGUAUAUGUUAGAAAAUAGUUAAAUAAUCAUGCAGAAGUGUAUGAGUCCUCACCCCAUAGCAACAUGAGGGGACAGUUGCUUAUCCACUGGAUAGUUUACAGUGUUGACCUUUUGGCUUCUAAAACUUUUUCAUGUUUUUGGUGAAGUAAUUUGUCUCAGUUAGUUGAAACAGUUUAAAAGUUUAUUUCAUUUUUUAAAUCCAGAAGUAGGGAAAUGGCUCAGAUUUCCUUGUAAUAACUAUUAGACAUAAUUUGAAUCCUCCCACGCAGAAUGGAGCUGAGACUUGGUGUCUGAAAAUUUCUAUGUAAAUCCUGAAGCUCCUAGCGGAUACUCUGACCAAAGCAAUGAGGAUUAUGGCCAAGGUGCACUGACUUCUCAGGCCCUGCCACAAUGAAGGUAGAGAUGCACCUUCAGUCCUCUCUUACUAAUAAGUCAUUGACCAAACGGUAGACUCUGUUUAACUGUAGAGAUAGACCAGGUUUUUAGAUAGAGUGUAUACAAAGACAAAAGCCCAACCCUAAUGAUUUCAGAAUGGAGUAUAGAAAAAAUAGAAUUCCAAUAACACAAACAACAAAGACAAAAAUGAGUUCCAGAUUCAAUAACUAUUAAUCUUAGGUUUGGGAACAAGAACCACCUGAUCUUACAGAGGUGUAAACAGUUGGAAAUAACAAUAGCUGCUUUUAUUGAGCUGAAGUGCCAGGUACUAUGCAUUGCUCUUUAAGUAAAUUAUCUGUAAUCCAUAACAAUCCUACAGAAGUAUUAUUGUCUCCAUUGUAUGGUUUUAAAAACACAGUCAAAAGGAUGCUAAGUAAACUGCUUAAGGUUGCAAUGCUAUUAAAGGGAGAGAACUGGGAUAGAAGCCCAUGUCCAUCUGAAGCUAAAUCUCAUGUUUUAUCCAUAUCCCUAUAUGUCUGCUGAAUUUCUGUACAAUGACUUAGUUUACAAAGAACUUCCAUGUAUAUUAUUUCAUCUGAUCAUUACGUAUGACAGGUUAUUGUUAUAUCCACUUUGCAAAUAAGGAAAAAAUGAGAGUAAGUCACUGAAUAUGGUUAAGCCUUAGUUUCUUCUGCUGUAAAAUGGGAUAGUAAUGCACACUUUGGGUUGUUACUGGGGACUAGACAUGUUUACAAUGUCUAAUUAGUAGUCCAUAGUCAUUGCACAAUAAAUACUAGCUCUCUUAUUGUUAUUAUCAUUGGCAAAGUUAUGAAUUUCCCAGAUCACCCAGCUUAAAGAUGACACAUCCAGGACUUGUGCAAAUUUUCAGAUCCUAUCCCAGUGAUUCAUCUAUGGAUCUAUGGCUGAGUCCAACAAAGCCUUGGGAGGAUAUCUCUCCAGGUCUACAUUUAUGCCAGACAAGCAGCACAAGGUGUAGGCAGGAACCAGUCAUCUAAAAAUCCUUACUCUGCAAUUAUUUCGACCUUGGCUACACAUGAGAAUCAUCUGAGAGUUUUUUAGAAAUCCUGAUGCCCUUGCCACACCCUAGACCUAUGACAUCAGCAUCAUUGAUGGUAGGACUCAGGCAUUAGUAAUUUUUGCAGUUCCCAAUGUGCAGCUAGAAUUGAGAACCAUCAACCUAGAGAAAACCAUGGCCAAAGAUUUGUUCAUCAUGAGAUGUUCCUGACUCCCAAUGGCCUUGUCAUCCACAUGCAGCCUCACAUUAUAACAUCUUAGCUACACAUUAUGCUCUGAACGUGGAAGAUACUUUCUUCUUUACAAGCCCAUCAGAAUACAAAGAAACAGUCCAAGCAAAGACCAUCCCCAUUUUCCUUAUGAGAAAUCUUAUACCUACAGACAUAAUUUGGAUUAUCCAAGACUGAAAUAUAGACAAGUAAAGUUUUGCUCUUGGGGAAAAACCCACAAACCAGCCAAGGCUCCUUUAUUUCAGACCUAAAGAAAAUGAAAUCAGAAGUAUUUUUUCCAAUGGAGAGUGAAAAUACACAGGCCUGGAGGGAAUAAUAGAGGAAAGUCAGUAUGAAUUUAGCAUCAGUUUAGAAAGACUAAUGACUUGUUUGCUGAUUCUAACUUCCUUGACUGUCCAUUAACCCAGUUUUUAGACUAUGUAUUUUCUAAAGAUAAGAACCAUGUCUAUUUCUCAUCAGACACUGGAUUUGCAAAACAAAACAAAAUAAAACAAACACCCCUCCCCCAAAAUUGGAUCAAAAGAGGUAUUGGGUGAGGCUACUAAAAUAUGACACAUUUCAUGAGCAUGGGACAACCAUCCCAAUCACUGUGUAAAAUAUUCCCAGUUCCCAAUUACGAGAGACUUUUAGGGAAGGCCUGUACUAUUAUUGCCUGUUUUUUCCUAAUCCACAGUAAUUUCAGUUGUAUCUUUCUCCACCUAAUUCUUUGAGGGCUAUUGGCACCUUUUUCUCUUAGAUUGGAAGCUGUUGAAUCUAAAGUAUAGGCCUUUGUCAAUUGACGUCAAAUUGUUUUAUACUUAUUUGAGAGUCAUGCUGUUCAUUUAAUUUUUAAAUGUCCUGAAAUAUCAGGUGUGCAAUUUGCAGUGGAAAUGUAACAAUAGACCGUUGUUUUCUAAUGGUAUUUCAACAGAGAUGAAACUAGAGGGAUAAUUCUGGCUCUCUAAGUCAUUAAGAAUAUAGAACAUUCUGGUUCCAAAAAGGUUCCUAACAAGAAUUAUGUCGCAAAUAAGUAAAGAAAAAAUACAGGUAUUCAGUUAUCAUAACUACUUACUCCACAGAAAGAUGCAAGUUAUAGAUUUUGGUGAAGAAUGUAUUUUUUUAACUUAGAUAAAUAAAUCAUGAUCUUGUUUUGUUUAAGAAGAGAUUUUUCCCUAUUGAAGAAAACAAAAUAUGUUUGGUUUGUAGUUUACUGGAAAAACCUAUCCAGAUCAUUUAUUGAAAAUAAGCAUAUAAAAUUUACCAGUAUCCAAACAAGGCAAAACUCUGCUUUUAUUUUUUAAAAUUACUGGGGAUGGGGAUAUAUUUAUGUGUAUGGAGGGAGGAUGUCAUAUUUACUAGAAGGAAAAUGUUAUCUUAAGACAGAACAAGAAAUUAACUGAAACCUUUACAGUACACAUAAGUCAUGUUUGGCCCAGGGCAACUGACAAUUUAUAAAGUUAACCUAUAAAUCUUUUCAUUCUUAGAAUCCCUUCAAAGUUUAAACUGGUUGUAUAUAACCAUCCAAAGCCAGUAGUUUUUUUUUUCUUUUUGUUGUGAUUUUCUACCUUCAUUCAUUAAUGAUGACAACAAAAAAAACAAUAAAGAAAAUUAAAUGCAUGAUUCUGGAUGCAUUUAUUUUUACAGUGUAAAGAUAUCUGAAAUCAAUGCCUGAAGGAAGGAAAUUCAUUUGCCUAACGUAAUGUGUGGGAAGUGUCUCCACUCUACAUCUGUUUGUUCUUCAACAAGACACUCUUAGUCCUAUUUAGAGAGCUAUGGUCACAUCCAUUAAAUAAGACCAGUUAUAAAUAUCAAGCAACCCCUUCUCCCUCUUCACCUGCUUCAUUCCCCAUUAUUUAAGAGCAAAUGUCACAGGACAGCUUGUGGUUAAAAUGCAUGUGAGACUGUACCAUAAUCCAUGAGAACAUAAAGAUCUAGCUUUAUGAGUUACAUACCUGUUUGAUACCAUUUGGCUGAAAAAAACCCAUCCUUUUAGCUAUAUUUCUUCAGUCUUUCAAGGUAGCUCAUUAAGUGGAAAAUGCUUCUUAGAUCUUUAGUUAAGAUCCCAGCUACCACAAUUCUCACCCCAAAAGGCCUUGAGGCAGUUCCUACUCAUGUACCAGGAACAUGAGCUCCACAGAGUGAGGGUUCUUUUCUGAAGAUGGGACAUCAAAUGCUCCUGGAAGAAUGAGGAGGAGUUCUUCACUGAGAAAAUCAUCUGUGUUGACAAGAAUUGUAGAUUUGUUCAGUGUCAACUUAGCUAGGCUGGAACUACAUCUCUCCAGAAUUUCCUUCCCUGUGUGGUUCUGCAUUAGGGUGGGCACAAGAGACAUUUUAUAUCAGAUUAGGAAAAUGCAAAUGAAGCAGACCCAUCUUCUUAUCCUGAAAGAUCAGUAUAGUGUGCAAGGUGUUGUUGCAGGUCACACAGGUUCUCUCUCUCUCU